AGGCACUGUUGUAUGUAGACGUAAUUGGCAGAAGAGAGAAGCGAGAGAAAACCACAAAGACAUGAAAGGAGACCAGGAGGCAACAUAAGUCAUAGCAAUGGCAAAGCAAUCAUACUGGGCUAAAGGCAAAUUAAUGUAAGUCAGAAAUUGGAAACAGCUGGUACUGUGAAGCUGCCCCUUCUUGAACACAUUGUAAACCAACAAAACAAAAAGAUAUCACUCUGAAACUUACAGAAUCGAUCAAGAUGUGAUUGCUGGUCCGAGAAGAGAAGUGAUUGAAAUACAGUGGCCGGCAAUGGUAUGAAGAUAUGGAUCUGAGUGACUUUCACACAUCCCGUUGUUCACUGAGCCUUCGGGAUCACAGUUACAGGCUGUGGAUCAAAGGAGGUGGACACAGCAGCCCAACGAAACCAGCAGCAGGGAAACACCACUUCCAAAUUACCAAACUUCCCAAAAUGGCCAUACCUGUGGCUGAUCACGUUGACCUCAUCAGACACCUAAGAACCAUAGAACCAGAGGAAGCAAGUUACCCUUGAUCUGAGGAGUGUCUUUGGAGAGAUGUUACGUCAGACUUUAUUUCAGCUCAAGGUGUUUGAUCUCAUCUUGAUAAAUACAUCAGAGGCAGAGGUCAUGAUGAAGAAAGAAGGUUCAGGCUCACUCAUUUUUGAUGUUGCAAGCACUACAAAUGUCAGCUUUUUUCACACUUCAGAAGUGCCUACCUUGUAUCUCUGGGCUGUAUGGAUUAGAGAUUUGGAAAUGUGGAUCCAGUGCUUUCAGAACAACCUGCAAUGCAUGUUUCAAAAUAAAA